AUUGAACGCUGGCGGCAGGCCUUACACAUGCAAGUCGAGCGAGAAAUUUUCUUCGGAAAAGAGUAAAGCGGCGGACGGGUGAGUAACGCGUAGGAAUCUACCUAGUAGUGGGGGACAACAUGUGGAAACGCAUGCUAAUACCGCAUACGCCCUAUGGGGGAAAGCAGGGGAUCUUCGGACCUUGUGCUAUUAGAUGAGCCUGCGUCGGAUUAGUUUGUUGGUAGGGUAAUGGCCUACCAAGACUACGAUCCGUAGCUGGUCUGAGAGGAUGAUCAGCCACACUGGGACUGAGACACGGCCCAGACUCCUACGGGAGGCAGCAGUGGGGAAUAUUGGACAAUGGGCGCAAGCCUGAUCCAGCCAUGCCGCGUGUGUGAAGAAGGCUCUAGGGUUGUAAAGCACUUUCAGUAGGGAGGAAAAGUUAGUAGUUAAUAACUGCUAGCCCUGACGUUACCUACAGAAGAAGCACCGGCAAACUCCGUGCCAGCAGCCGCGGUAAUACGGAGGGUGCGAGCGUUAAUCGGAAUUACUGGGCGUAAAGCGCGCGUAGGCGGUUUGAUAAGNUGGAUGUGAAAGCCCCGGGCUCAACCUGGGAACUGCAUCCAGAACUGUCUGACUAGAAUACAAUAGAGGUGAGUGGAAUUUCCUGUGUAGCGGUGAAAUGCGUAGAUAUAGGAAGGAACAUCAGUGGCGAAGGCGACUCACUGGAUUGAUAUGACG
rnacentral:rRNA from 1 species